rnacentral:rRNA from 1 species
UGGUGGAGUGAUUUGUCUGGUUAAUUCCGUUAACGAACGAGACCUCAGCCUGCUAAAUAGUCGAGCGAAUGAAUUUUAUUCAUUCGUGUACCAUUCUAUCGACUUCUUAGAGGGACUGUCUGUAUCUAGCAGAAGGAAGUGUGAGGCAAUAACA